ACAACUUUCCGCAACGGAUCUCUUGGCUCUCGCAUCGAUGAAGAACGCAGCGAAAUGCGAUAAGUAAUGUGAAUUGCAGAAUUCAGUGAAUCAUCGAAUCUUUGAACGCACCUUGCGCUCCUUGGUAUUCCGAGGAGCAUGCCUGUUUGAGUGUCAUU
rnacentral:rRNA from 1 species